GACGAACGCUGGCGGCGUGCCUAAUACAUGCAAGUAGAAUGCUGAAGAGAGGAGCUUGCUCUUCUUGGAUGAGUUGCGAACGGGUGAGUAACGCGUAGGUAACCUGCCUUGUAGCGGGGGAUAACUAUUGGAAACGAUAGCUAAUACCGCAUAACAAUAGGUGACACAUGUCAUUUAUUUGAAAGGGGCAAUUGCUCCACUACAAGAUGGACCUGCGUUGUAUUAGCUAGUAGGUGAGGUAACGGCUCACCUAGGCGACGAUACAUAGCCGACCUGAGAGGGUGAUCGGCCACACUGGGACUGAGACACGGCCCAGACUCCUACGGGAGGCAGCAGUAGGGAAUCUUCGGCAAGGGGGGCAACCCUGACCGAGCAACGCCGCGUGAGUGAAGAAGGUUUUCGGAUCGUAAAGCUCUGUUGUAAGUCAAGAACGAGUGUGAGAGUGGAAAGUUCACACUGUGACGGUAGCUUACCAGAAAGGGACGGCUAACUACGUG
rnacentral:rRNA from 1 species